GUGAGGAUGGUAUACAGUUUU
rnacentral:piRNA from 1 species